GAUGGUUUGUGCCGAAUGAUAUCGACAGUAUCUGGUGGAAGUAACGGAUUAAACGUGGCGUUGAAUAAGAACCUCAACUUGGGUCGAUUCACAAUUCUUUGAACAACAAUGCGGAUGGUGACGAUUAUUAAUGACAAUGGACAAGUAUAUGAAAUCAGAGGAACGUCAAGGAAAAAAGAUCUUCCAUAAACUAUGGGACCCUUUGAGAUUCGGGGAACAAGGCAAAAAAAUCUCGAUUAUUUAGGCCACUCCCUUAUUGCGAUCUACACCCAACUGAUCAACAAGAGAGAAUAUCCUUUGAGAGCUAUAAUGGAUCACGCAGGAUAGAUUACCUGCAGCUCACCAGAAGUCUUAAGAGCGCCAAAGAUCUCUCCAAAAAAUCAUUCUCAUUCACCCUGGACAAAGAAGACAUCUUCAACGCCUCGAUGUGGACUCGAUAUUCUACAUUACCAUACACGAAACACUUGUCAUCACCAGAGACCGCUGAGAGGGUAUGGAACGAAAGAAGAGAACGAACCGAGAGGCGACUGACCUUAUGUACCUCACAAAAUGUAUUGGCAAACCCUCAUAGUUCACGUAGGAAUGCG